UGUGUUAUGCUCCAGGACCGGCCCAAUACUAUGAUAACAUACAGCAGGAAAAGGCCCAAGAACAAAGUGGACGGCCCAACAACAGGCACGGUCAUUCCGAACAGUAAACAGUGAAAUUAGAAGUAAGGGGGUUAAAGGGGGAGAGAGGGAAGGAGGUAGAGGCAUCUGGAAUAUUGUUAAACACUUGUUUCUUGUGGGAGAGACGGAACCUCUCGAAAGUUCCGAGUACCUAUCUUUUGUAAUCGCUUGAAUCUAGUAAUAUUAUCGUAUGCUUUUGCUUGAAUUUGGGUGAAUUGUGUGUUUAUCAGUAGCUUAAGCAUUACAAGUGGUAUCAGAGCAACUACGAUCCAUGGGUCCUCCUACAGUCACGCAACGUUUAGAUCAUUUGGAAGAGAAGGCGAAUGAGGUCGAAGGAGCGAUGGCAGCAAUGGCCGCUAGCGUUGUCGAUCGUGCAAUUGAGGCGAUGCGUCUCUCUCUUACGGAGUUGAUUCGAGAGCAUCAAACCCUAGCCGCCACAAAGCUGAGUUCUGAUUUUGAAACCCUAGCCAGUCGUUUGGAGGGCCGCUUGAGUCGCAGCCGUGAGCAUCAGGAAGCCCUAAUCAAUACUAUUCGCACUGACCAGCUUACUUUUCAGGGCGAAGUGAAGUCCACUCUCGCUGGUUUAGUUACAAGUUCGGCGUCGGGUCAUGACCGAGGUGAAGGUAGUGGUACGGCAGGGGGGCCGUCGAUGGGUUCGGCAAUGACAAAUGGGCGAAUUGGGGGCGGAGGAUAUACUGGUGGGUUUCAGGGCGGUGGGCCAGGAGGGGGUCAAAAUAACUGGCGCUAUCGCAAGCUAGAUAUGCCGAUAUUUGAUGGUGAAGACCCUGAUGGUUGGAUCUUACGAGUGGAGCGCUAUUUUGCAUUCUAUAAGCUCACUGAGGAUGAAAUGUUGGAGGCGGUGGCUGUAGCAAUGGAUGGCGACGCGUUGCGUUGGUAUCAAUGGGAGAACAAACGCCGUCCCAUUCGGCGUUGGGAGGAUUUGAAGGUGUUUAUACUCCGUCAGUUCCGGUCAGUCAGUGGAGGGUCUUUAUACGAGCAAUGGCUCUCAACCACACAAUCAACUACAGUGAAGGAGUAUAGGCGGGCUUUUAUCGAGACGGCAGCACCUCUUGAUAGAGUCUCUGAGGAUAUACUGAUGGGGCACUUCAUUAAUGGUCUCAAGGAUGAUAUUAAAGCUGAGGUACGUGUCUUAAACCCACUAAAUUUGGAGCAAGCCAUGGAACUUGCAGUUCGUAUAGAAGAGAAACAGAGGGUGGCUGGAAGUCGGAGGCCAAAUUUGAGUUUCAUUAAAACUGGAACACCUGCUGCUAGUGUUAAAAGUGCAUCCGGAGUGGGUUCGUAUGCGGCUUCUAUACCAACUACCCCAGGCACUGUCCGUACUUGGGGGCCGACAUCACCUGAAUCUCAGGGGUCGGUACAAUCUCCCCAGAACAGCAAACGUGUGGGUGACGUGCGGCGGUUGACGGAGAAGGAACUGCAAGAGAAAAGGGCCAAGGGAUUAUGUUAUCGGUGUGACGAGAAGUGGGCAAUGGGGCAUAGAUGCAAACGCAGGGAACUGAGCGUGUUGUUAAUUGAUGAUGAGGAGGAAGAUUUAACCAGUGAGGACAGCGAAGUGGUGCCAUCACCGCCUACUGAGCCUAUACCAGAGGUAUCUCUCAAUUCGGUAGUGGGGCUUUCCAACCCGAAGACGAUGAAGUUAAGGGGCAUCAUUGGUUCACAACAGGUGGUGGUUCUCAUUGAUCCGGGAGCCACCCACAAUUUUAUUUCCCUCAAAGUGGUGGAAACAGGGGGAAUUGGGGUAACUCCUUCAGGCAGCUUUGGUGUGUCCCUGGGAAAUGGCGAGGCGGUGCGGGGUGCUGGGCUUUGUAAGGGGGUUUGUGUGCAGUUAGAUGGUGGGUUGGAAGUAGUGGAGGAUUUCUUGCCACUAGAGCUAGGGAGUACUGACGUGAUAUUAGGCGUACAAUGGUUGGAGAAGUUGGGAGAGGUGAUGACAAAUUGGAAAACACAGGUGAUGCGUUUCGAAGUGGGGGGCGAAUUGGUGACACUAGUAGGCGACCCCUCCUUAAUGCGUACAAAAAUCUCGUUAAAGGCCAUGUACAGAACAUUGAGGAAGUCUGGUGGAGGGUAUUUGGUGGAGUGCCAGGUAAUUGAAAACGUGACUAAAACGGAAGGGAAACAGCAGGUGACACCCCCCAUUCCAGAUUUUAUACAACCUCUAAUCACUGAGUACCACCAGGUGUUUAACAGUCCAAAAGGCUUACCUCCGAGCCGAGGACAUGAGCACUCGAUUGUGCUAAAGGUGGGCAGUAACCCUGUGGGGGUAAGACCGUAUCGAUACCCGCAGAAUCAGAAGGAUGAGAUCGAGAGACUCAUUGCUGAAAUGUUGCAAGCAGGGAUAAUUAGACCAUCCACCAGCCCGUUUUCAAGUCCCGUAUUGUUGGUAAAGAAAAAAGACGGUUCAUGGCGCUUUUGUGUUGAUUAUCGCGCGUUGAACCGAGAAACAGUGCCAGAUAAAUACCCCAUUCCGGUCAUCGAUGAACUGCUAGACGAGCUACAUGGGGCGAAGGUUUUUACAAAAUUGGAUCUUAAAUCUGGUUAUCACCAGAUUUUGGUGAAGGCAGAGGACACCCAUAAGACGGCAUUCCGUACACAUGAUGGGCAUUACGAGUUCCUCGUAAUGCCGUUUGGGUUAAUGAAUGCUCCGGCAACCUUUCAGGCACUAAUGAAUGACUUGUUUCGCUCCCUCCUGCGUAAGACGGUUCUAGUCUUCUUCGAUGACAUAUUAGUAUAUAGCAAGAAUCUGGAGGAGCACUAUACUCAUGUGGCUGCUGUGUUUGAAAUUUUGCGUGCAAAUUGUCUAUACGCUAAUCUGGGCAAGUGUGAGUUUGGACAGACUUCUCUUGGUUACUUGGGCCAUGUGAUUUCGGCUGCUGGGGUGGAGAUGGAUUCGGAGAAGGUGAAAUCCAUGUUAGAUUGGCCAAGGCCGCGAAAUUUGAAGGAGCUGCGUGGGUUUCUUGGGCUAACGGGGUAUUACAGAAAGUUCGUAGCAACAUAUGCUGAAAUAGCACGGCCACUAACUGAGCAGUUAAAGAAAGACAAUUUUGGUUGGACACCAGAGGCUACGACGGCGUUCGAAGCUCUCAAAUCUGCCAUGACUCGAGCCCCUGUAUUAGCAAUGCCGGAUUUCCAAGAUUUGUUUGUGAUUGAAACCGAUGCCUCAGGUUAUGGUCUCGGGGCUGUGUUGAUGCAGCGAAAUAGACCGAUAGCCUUCUACAGUAAGUUGUUAGGGGUGAAGGCACAGCAGAAAUCAAUAUACGAAAAAGAACUCAUUGCCAUUUGUAUGGCAGUGCAACGUUGGAAACAUUAUUUAGUUGGGCGCCAUUUUGUGGUCCGUACGGAUCAACAAGCACUGAAGUACGUGUUGCAGCAACGAGAAAUCAAUAGUGAAUAUCAGAAAUGGGUGAUAAAGCUGUUGGGAUUUGAUUUCGAAAUCCAGUUUAAAACUGGGGCCUCGAAUCGGGUAGCCGAUGCUCUCUCUCGAAAGAUGAAUGGGGAAGUAAUUUUGGGCUCCAUGACAUCGUUCCACAGCAUAGAUUGGGGUGUAAUUGCAGCAGAGGUUGGGGCUGACCGCGUCCUUAAACAAAUUAUAACGGAACUUAAAGCAGGUGGUAUACACUCAGGGGGGUUUUCGUUGGUGGACAAUAAGUUGUUGUUUAAAGGGAGGGUGGCACUUCCACGGAAUUCUACAUAUAUAUCACUGCUGCUCCACGAGUAUCAUGAUUCAGCCAUUGGGGGUCAUGCAGGGGAAGCGAAGACGUACUUGCGAAUAGCAAAAGAUUGGUUUUGGGUAGGCAUGAAACGUGAUGUAACUGAUUAUGUGCACAAGUGCUCAGUGUGUCAAGCACAGAAGGUGUCCCAGCAACACCCUGCUGGCCUACUACAGCCUUUGCCAUUACCGUCGAUGGUCUGGGAAGACAUUACAAUGGACUUUGUAGAAGGUUUACCACUGUCCAGAGGCUAUAAUACAAUUCUGGUGGUUGUUGAUCGUUUGUCAAAGUACGCUCACUUUAUAGGAUUGAAACACCCUUUUCAUGCAUCAACAGUUGCUGCUAGUUUUAUUCAGGAGAUUGUCCGGCUUCAUGGGUUUCCAGCGUCCAUUAUUUCGGACAGGGAUCGCAUCUUUAUGAGUGUAUUCUGGAAAGAAAUGUUUAAGUUGCAGGGUACUCAGCUAAAACGCAGCACGGCCUAUCACCCCCAGACCGAUGGGCAGUCCGAGAUCGUAAACAAGGGGUUAGAAACUUAUUUGAGGUGUUUUGUUGGGGGACAGCCGAAGACUUGGGCUAAGUGGUUAGCCUGGGCAGAAUUUUCAUACAACACUUCACCCCACUGCUCCUCUAAGUUUAGUCCAUUUCAGGUUUUGUAUGGGAGGGAACCCCCACAUGUCUUGCGGGUGGGCAGAGGCCAGACUUCGGUUCAUGAUUUGGAUGAGUAUUUGCAGACUAGGGAUGCUAUACUAGAUGAUCUUCAUUUUAAUUUGAUCAAGGCCCAACAGUUAAUGAAGUUGGCUGCAGACAAACACCGCAGGAAUGAUUCGUUUGCUGUGAAUGAGAUGGUGUACUUGAAGCUCCAGCCAUAUCGCCAGCGAUCAUUAGCAAGGCGUCCAUUUGAGAAACUUGCACCACGGUUCUAUGGUCCCUUCAAAGUCCUCCAGCGCAUCGGGCAAGUAGCUUACAAGCUAGAACUUCCAGACGGAUGUAAAAUCCAUCCGGUGUUUCAUAUUUCGCAGCUCAAGCGUGCGAUUGGUGGAGUGCAGGCUGUUCCAAUCAUUCCCCCCCAGUUGACUGAAGAACUGGAAUUGGUAGUGGAACCUGAGCUGCUAUUGGAUGUCAGGCAACAUCAGGCAGAUGUGGAAGUGCUAGUCAAAUGGAAAGGGCUCCCCAGCAGUGAGGCCACCUGGGAAUAUGCUGAGGUUUUGGAUCAAUUAUUUCCUGCGUUCCACCUUGAGGACAAGGUGAAUCUUUGGCGCCGGGGUAAUGUUAUGCUCCAGGACCGGCCCAAUACUAUGAUAACAUACAGCAGGAAAAGGCCCAAGAACAAAGUGGACGGCCCAACAACAGGCACGGUCAUUCCGAACAGUAAACAGUGAAAUUAGAAGUAAGGGGGUUAAAGGGGGAGAGAGGGAAGGAGGUAGAGGCAUCUGGAAUAUUGUUAAACACUUGUUUCUUGUGGGAGAGACGGAACCUCUCGAAAGUUCCGAGUACCUAUCUUUUGUAAUCGCUUGAAUCUAGUAAUAUUAUCGUAUGCUUUUGCUUGAAUUUGGG
rnacentral:lncRNA from 1 species